AUGCUGUCCUUGAGGCUGAGGUAGUAGAUUGAAUAGUUGUGGAGCCUUAUUCUCCCUCUGAGCUAACUAUACAAUCUACUGUCUUUCCUAAGGAGACAGUAA